rnacentral:tRNA from 2 species
UGGGAGAUCGUCUAACGGUAGGACACAAGGUUUUGGUCCUUGGUAUCUAGGUUCGAGUCCUAGUCUCCCAG